ensembl:lncRNA
AUGUCCUGACCUACAGGUUCAGCCAGGACCACUUGGAGCUUCUCUUCAACUCCAUCAGAGUAUUUGAGGCAAUGUGACGGCACAGGAUGACACAGAGUCCCUACCAGCUGUCAUCGACACCUCUACAAGCCUGUCAGCUGUAGAUGUGUCCUCUGCAGCAGGAGGAGAAGAUCUUCCAUCCCGUUUGCUGACAUUCCUGCCCUAGUACAUGAUCACAGCUACCUUCCCGUCCACUUCGAUGGUCUUGUGGACAACGCUCUCAUGUACAUUUCAGGCUCUGAAGAAGCUGUCGUGUGAUGUCUGCCGUGCCAGCCUGGUGACAUGCUGCAUCUGCCAUCAAGGACCAGAGCUACCACAUGCUGAAUUUAAAAAACAAUGGAGGUCAGGUGAUUCCAUCAGAGGGAACCAUGAGUGUCAUCAGGGCAGCAGAGUGGGUCAUUCGGCAGUCAUCAGGCAGUACCAGACGAUCACAGCCCAUCAAACUGCUUGAGGUUGUCUACAUUGUCUGAAAAAGGAUCGGUUCAGAGGAUGUUUGUGUUGGGAUAGACAGUAUGGGAUAGACAUCCACCACCAUAGGCUGUUAAAAAUAAUUCU